rnacentral:rRNA from 1 species
AUUGAACGCUGGCGGCAUGCUUUACACAUGCAAGCCGAACGGUAACAGGCCGCAAGGUGCUGACGAGUGGCGAACGGGUGAGUAAUGCAUCGGAACGUGCCCAGUCGUGGGGGAUAACUACUCGAAAGAGUAGCUAAUACCGCAUACGAUCUAUGGACGAAAGCGGGGGACCGUAAGGCCUCGCGCGAUUGGAGCGGCCGAUGUCAGAUUAGGUAGUUGGUGGGGUAAAGGCUCACCAAGCCAACGAUCUGUAGCUGGUCUGAGAGGACGACCAGCCACACUGGGACUGAGACACGGCCCAGACUCCUACGGGAGGCAGCAGUGGGGAAUUUUGGACAAUGGGCGCAAGCCUGAUCCAGCAAUGCCGCGUGCAGGAAGAAGGCCUUCGGGUUGUAAACUGCUUUUGUACGGAACGAAACGGCUCUGGUUAAUACCCGGGGCUAAUGACGGUACCGUAAGAAUAAGCACCGGCUAACUACGUG